UUGAGUUGCACUGAUGAAGUCAUAGUAACUAAGGUCUUAUGAGAUCUAUUCUACCACUUGGCAAACUUUCUGCUGCUGUAGGAAAUAUAACAAGACGACUGCAUUGUCUGGCUUGACAAGACCAACAGAGGAGCCAUCUAGCUCUACCAACAGGCACAGGAUGAGAGCCCAAGCAGGAGAGCACACACUGAGCAUUCCAAUCUCCCCCGACUGAAGAAAUCUUUUAGCAGUGCUUAGCCUUGAAGCCAACAGAACAUGUAAUUAAUACCUUAUCCUGUGCCACUGUAACAUGGAAUCACAGAAUCGUUAAGGUUGGAAAAGACCUCCAAGAUCAUAAAGUCCAACUAUCAACACCACCACCAAACCAGUAUAUUUUUGUAAGGAAGACAGGUUGGACACGACAGGAGAGGAAGGCUGAAGACUUUGAUGGUAUUCAGUAUUCUGGCCCCAAAUACAAAACAAAGAGUUUCAUCACAAGUUCAAGGACUCUGAGCAUCCCUUGGGCCCAGGGUCAUAAUUACCUUUGCAAACCACAGACAAGCAGAGCCAGACCCCCGCCUGUACUGGACACUUAAUUGAACACCAACUGAGCAAGUGCUGCACUGUUCUGCUUUCAACGCCCAGCCUACUGUGCAGCCCAGCACUGCUUCUCCCUUCCACUUCCCUGGACUGGCCCCAGGACAGUGCCCAGUGCCCAUAGUUGCCCACAUGGGCACAGGCAAGUGGCACUUGUUGUCACAGCCCAUGUCAAGGAGCAGGCUCCGAGCUCACAGCCCACACUGCUGUUAGGAAGGAUUUGUGCUCAGCUUGCUGAAGGAUAGGGAGCCCAACAGCAAAACCAAGAAAGACCAGCGUCUGGGUCAAGUUGCCAUCUGCCACCCUCCAUACAGGGAAACAUUCCCUGAAAAAAAAAUGGCCAUAUAGUUGUACAGGAACUCCUAAUCAAGAAUGACACAAAGAAUAAAACACCACCUGCCACCACCGGCAGUGACAGGCAGCUGCUAUCCAAUACCAGCACAAAUACCUUUCUCGCCAUGGGGCACCUAUUGGUCUGAACAGGAUUAACAGAGGUGAGGAAAGCAUUCAUUAAGUCUUCCAAGGACUUGGCUAAAAAAACGUAUCUGGCAUUCAGAAGGAAGCAUUUAAGAAGUCAAUCUUCUAAGAGCUUGAGGAAUUUCUCUAGGAACUGCUGGAGCUGCUAGAUGCCACAGCCAAUGAGGCAGAGAAGCAGCUGCCCAGGAUUCACACAGCCCUAAAAUAACAUUUCCAACAUCUUCCAGAUCCUAAUGCACCUGCUAGAAAGAGAUAUCACUGCAGCACUGGCAUGGGCAGAAGGUGACUGGUGAAAAGCCACGAGCAUGGAAGACUUUUGCAUGCACAACAUAGGGAGUGAGGCAAGCUUUCCUGCUUCCCCCAAGUUUGUCUUGGCCUUAUACUGUAGGGACUGCAUUUGGAGCCAAAGGGAUCAUUUCUGCUUCACCACAAGCUCCUCUGCCAAUGAAAGGAUGGAUUCAGCCACAUGGCUCAUACAGUGCCUUACAGUCCCUUGGCUUCCAGUGAGCUGCCUACCAGGAGCAGGAUGACACCAGGAGUCCCACCAGCUUGGACACUUUUCCUGCUUCCAAUCUAUAUAGACGAGCUGAAUUGUCUCCUUAAUAAACCACAGCACACCCAGCUUUCAGGGAAGUCUGGCACCUCUGCUGUGAGAAAUUACACGGUACAGAAACCCCAGCACCUUCGUUUUGCAGGGCUGGAAGCAGAAGCUACGUCCUCACUUCAUUCCAGCCAACUGCUGCCCCUUCAGGGUCACCAAAUGUGCUCCUUACCCAUCACCCUGCUCACCUGAAGGUUACUACACUGAGCCGUGCACCAAGGCUCAGCAAAGCUGGAAAUGUUUAAAGCAAUCCUCAGGCAAGCAGGAUUAUGCUUAGAAAGCGUGCUGCUCAGACACUCACGCCCUCCACACCUGAGAAAUCAAACGAUUGGGAAAAGGCAAUCACUGUUGGACACAUACAUUCACAGGAAUGCCUAUAAAUGGCAUAAAUAUACAUGGUGCUUAUGAGAUAGCAACGAUGUGAAAAUUGAAAAGCCGCAGAACUGGGCAUGUAUGAAUCCAGUUUCAGGCAGCAGAACCUGAGGUGUGGGCUUCCCAUGCAACGCUCAGCACAGCCGCACCCAACCACCAUGCAGUCCUCAGGAGCCCAGCACGGUCCUGAGCUGCUCCGCACACAGCUGGGAAGCCAAGUUCAGCUCCUCCACACUGAAACAACACUGGAACAAUUAAGCUGGUCCAAAAGCAGCUUAAAAUGACUAAGCAGUUAUUGCCAAUCUGAAAUUUCUCUCUGGAUGAGUUCAGCCUGCUCUGCCAGCACAACAUCCUCACCGUCUCUGAUGGGUUUAAUAAAGCCAGUUGCAGCCCUACUGGAACAUGUCUCAUACAUCUACUAGCAUGGCCCGGCAUCAUGAGAGUAGGUGGAUUAUUCUGGGUUUGAUACGUGAAUUUUCAUGUUCUCAAAGCAGCUACAGCUGGAGUUCUGAAAGACUUCUGAAGCACCAACGUGAUUGACUCCCAUGGAUCAGACUCAACCACAAGAGAAUCAAAAUGCCAAUAAAUUAAUGAAUAUAAUGCAUCAAAUUCAAAUAUUUAUCAGGCAGCCUGGACAUGCUGCAGAUACACAAUCUUGCUUUCCUCAGCCACAUUGUUCCAAGCGCUGCCUCGCGCUGCCUGGGAAGCACACCAGGAGCUGCGAUGGGGGGAGAGAAAUCACUGCACCUUGCUGCUAUUUACAGGUAACAAAGAGGUCUCCAAGUUAGCUGAGAGCGCGGAGGAACGAGGCUGCAGAGCCGUGCACAGCAGAGUCAGAGCAACAGUACAUUGACCUGUAUUAAUGGUGUAACACUCCAAAAAGAACUCCACGUCCUUAAUUACUUCAAAGAUUUUCUUUCUUUCAGCAAUGCAUUUUGAUGAGGAGCAUGUUGCUAACCACCUGCCGUACUUUAAUCUUCCUAAGGAAAUAGUCUGAUGUUCGUACUUCAGGAUGAUCAAUAUUAAAUAGCUCUCACUGGUUUUGUGUAGUAGCAAACGUUUCUGUGUUAUUUUUGAGGAGCCUUUGAUUAAAAAAAAUGCUGGGAGAAACACGACAAAUUGGAAUCCCUUUUCCCUUUAAUCCCCACUUUCCACAUUUCUGCCGUAAAAUGAAGCGCAAAACAAGUUUUCAAAGCAGGCACCCCCCCUCUGCAAUGCAAAACAGACCAAAAAUAUUUUCCAUGUAUCUACAAACCACAGAACAGUUGGGCUCAGCAUGGGAGCACAAAGAAACCCAACCUGUAAAACAAUUUGGUGGGCUUUGCCAUUCCUUUAAAACCUCACUUCUCCCCCAGAACAGCACGGCUACACAAAUAAAUAGAUAAUCAUAGAAGAACUUACCGGAGCA